rnacentral:rRNA from 1 species
AGGAAUCUGCCUAUUAAUGGGGGACAACAUCUCGAAAGGGAUGCUAAUACCGCAUACGCCCUACGGGGGAAAGCAGGGGAUCACUUGUGACCUUGCGUUAAUAGAUGAGCCUAAGUCGGAUUAGCUAGUUGGUGGGGUAAAGGCCUACCAAGGCGACGAUCUGUAGCGGGUCUGAGAGGAUGAUCCGCCACACUGGGACUGAGACACGGCCCAGACUCCUACGGGAGGCAGCAGUGGGGAAUAUUGGACAAUGGGGGGAACCCUGAUCCAGCCAUGCCGCGUGUGUGAAGAAGGCCUUAUGGUUGUAAAGCACUUUAAGCGAGGAGGAGGCUCUUCUAGUUAAUACCUAGGAUGAGUGGACGUUACUCGCAGAAUAAGCACCGGCUAACUCUGUGCCAGCAGCCGCGGUAAUACAGAGGGUGCGAGCGUUAAUCGGAUUUACUGGGCGUAAAGCGUGCGUAGGCGGCUUUUUAAGUCGGAUGUGAAAUCCCCGAGCUUAACUUGGGAAUUGCAUUCGAUACUGGGAAGCUAGAGUAUGGGAGAGGAUGGUAGAAUUCCAGGU